CUGCAAAUUUUAUCGGAAUAUCACUCUCUGCAUCAUACUAAAAGUUAACACAAAGGCGAACAACCCUUUUAAAGCUAGCGUCACACUGGGCCCAGAUGCAGGCACACGUGGUGGAUGAACCCUAAGAGUUUUUAUUUCACCAAAAUCCGCAGAGUGUGUCUGCAGGCAAGACAUGGCAAGUAAUGGAUCAGAGUCAGAAAGUAUUUAUUCUGAAUAAUCAAUGUCAAUUGACGAAAACCUACUGGGCUUGGGCAUGCUCAGUUUGCUCCUCUCUCCCUCCUU